rnacentral:rRNA from 1 species
CCUACGGGAGGCAGCAGUGAGGAAUAUUGGUCAAUGGACGAGAGUCUGAACCAGCCAAGUAGCGUGAAGGAUGACUGCCCUAUGGGUUGUAAACUUCUUUUAUAUGGGAAUAAAAUGUUCCACGUGUGGGAUUUUGUAUGUACCAUAUGAAUAAGGAUCGGCUAACUCCGUGCCAGCAGCCGCGGUAAUACGGAGGAUCCGAGCGUUAUCCGGAUUGUUUGGGUUUAAAGGGAGCUUAGGUGGAUUGUUAAGUCAGUUGUGAAAGUUUGCGGCUCAACCGUAAAAUUGCAUUUGAAACUGGGAGUCUAGAGUACAGUAGAGGUGGGCGGAAUUCGUGGUGUAGCGGUGAAAUGCUUAGAUAUCACGAAGAACUCCGAUGGCGAAGGCAGUUCACUGGACUGCAACUGACGCUGAGGCUCGAAAGUGUGGGUAUCAAACAGGAUUAGAUACCCCUGUAGUC